UAGCGGCAGACCUGCUGCAAUGGCCGGAACAAAGACGAUGAUGAAGCCAAUGUGCAAGAGAAUGCCCAACAUAGAAACAGCACGGAA
rnacentral:rRNA from 9 species